AAUACCACCCUUUAAUGUUUGAUGUUCUAACGUUGACCCGUAAUCCGGGUUGCGGACAGUGUCUGGUGGGUAGUUUGACUGGGGCGGUCUCCUCCUAAAGAGUAACGGAGGAGCACGAAGGUUGGCUAAUCCUGGUCGGACAUCAGGAGGUUAGUGCAAUGGCAUAAGCCAGCUUGACUGCGAGCGUGACGGCGCGAGCAGGUGCGAAAGCAGGUCAUAGUGAUCCGGUGGUUCUGAAUGGAAGGGCCAUCGCUCAACGGAUAAAAGGUACUCCGGGGAUAACAGGCUGAUACCGCCCAAGAGUUCAUAUCGACGGCGGUGUUUGGCACCUCGAUGUCGGCUCAUCACAUCCUGGGGCUGAAGUAGGUCCCAAGGGUAUGGCUGUUCGCCAUUUAAAGUGGUACGCGAGCUGGGUUUAGAACGUCGUGAGACAGUUCGGUCCCUAUCUGCCGUGGGCGCUGGAGAACUGAGGGGGGCUGCUCCUAGUACGAGAGGACCGGAGUGGACGCAUCACUGGUGUUCGGGUUGUCAUGCCAAUGGCACUGCCCGGUAGCUAAAUGCGGAAGAGAUAAGUGCUGAAAGCAUCUAAGCACGAAACUUGCCCCGAGAUGAGUUCUCCCUGACUCCUUGAGAGUCCUGAAGGAACGUUGAAGACGACGACGUUGAUAGGCCGGGUGUGUAAGCGCAGCGAUGCGUUGAGCUAACCGGUACUAAUGAACCGUGAGGCUUAACCUUACAACGCCGAAGGUGUUU
rnacentral:rRNA from 6 species